rnacentral:tRNA from 1 species
CAGGGAGUAGUUUAUUAAAAAUGUUAGUUUUGGGGACUAAAGAAGGGACAGUAGUUCUCUCCCUGA